CGGUUUUUCUUGCAGCGAGGUGGUUCCAACGGCGAGCGGCAGUUCGGCGGCCUGCAUCCUCGACCGCGAGAAGGAGGUGAGCGGCGGCGCCGCGGCCUCAAUCCCCGUCCGCCUGGCGCCGGAUCCGUCGUCCUCAACUGCCGGGCGUCGUCUCCUCCGUCCGCCGGCUGCGUCCCCAACUGCCGGGUGCAGAUCCGCCCGUACGCCGCUUCCCGGGUGCAGAAGGCGAAGAGGGCGGCGUCGAGCAGCAAUGGGGAUGAGAUUAUUCCUCUUGUGAAGGCAUUGAUCGAGAAAGACAAGGAAUGA
rnacentral:lncRNA from 1 species